AUCAAAAUGAUGAAGAACUGUUAGCUGAAAUUUGUAUGUUGAAGUUACAUAUCAUAUGCCUUUCAAAGUUCUCUGAUUGU
rfam:Solanum tuberosum cultivar DM 1-3 516 R44 scf00103_31, whole genome shotgun sequence.